GAAUUUUUCUCAAUGGGGGAAACCCUGAAGGAGCGACGCCGCGUGGAGGAUGAAGGUCUUCGGAUUGUAAACUCCUGUCAUUGGUGAACAAGACUGCCGGUUAACUGCCGGUGGGUUCGAUAGUAGCCGAAGAGGAAGGGACGGCUAACUCUGUGCCAGCAGCCGCGGUAAUACAGAGGUCCCGAGCGUUGUUCGGAUUCAUUGGGCGUAAAGGGUGCGUAGGCGGCGAGGCAAGUCUGGUGUGAAAUCCCGGGGCUCAACUCCGGAACUGCACUGGAUACUGCUUUGCUAGAGCACUGGAGAGGGAACUGGAAUUUACGGUGUAGCAGUGAAAUGCGUAGAUAUCGUAAGGAAGACCAGCGGCGAAGGCGAGUUCCUGGACAGUUGCUGACGCUGAGGCACGAAGGCCAGGGGAGCAAAC
rnacentral:rRNA from 1 species